AUGGGCUGCAAACUGCACCAUCAGGAGCAAAGUACUAUGUCCUCAGUAACUACCCACUUAGAUGUGCACGAAGUGGAGCAGCCAUCUACUAGGACCAUGUCUUGGAUUUUGCAGCCAGCAAAUAUUCAUCUGUGGGGCAUAAGCCAUAGAUUAUCUGUUGCAAAAUGUGCCCGGGCUGCUUUGCCAAGCUACCCUUUCCUGUGCCUUGGAGGUGAAGAAAAGAAAGGGGAUGAGUAUCCCAGUGCUGGAAGGCCGUGUUUUCCUGGGGUAAAACCAAGGUCCCCCUCUGGGGCAGGACACAUGUGCUGUCAGUGA
rnacentral:lncRNA from 1 species